rnacentral:rRNA from 1 species
CACGUAGGGUGCGAGCGUUGUCCGGAAUUAUUGGGCGUAAAGAGCUCGUAGGCGGUGUGUCGCGUCGGCCGUGAAAACCUGGGGCUUAACUCUGGGCGUGCGGUCGAUACGGGCAUCACUGGAGUUCGCAGGGGAGACUGGAAUUCCUGGUGUAGCGGUGAAAUGCGCAGAUAUCAGGAGGAACACCGGUGGCGAAGGCGGGUCUCUGGGCCGAUACUGACGCUGAGGAGCGAAAGCGUGGGGAGCGAACAGG